rnacentral:lncRNA from 1 species
AAUAUGAUAUACAAAAAUACACUAAUACAUGCUAACAAUAGAACUUAGGAGGAAAUCCGCGAAAAUUCGAUAAGCAUCACUUUAACCCACCUCUAUAACUAAUCCACGGCAACCCGAGGUCACGAAGUCGCUGGAAACCCUGCCGAGACCAACCGAAAUCCCCUAGAACUAGCAACCAACCCACUCCAAAAAUCUAAACAUCACAAACACCAAAACUUGCAUUACAACUCCCAAAUUUCAACACUUAAGCUUAAUCCACUAGUUCCAAUGUCAAAACUCACCUAUCAAUCCCCAAAUCUAUA